rnacentral:tRNA from 1 species
GCCGCUUUAGCUCCAGAUGGCAUAGCAUUCCAUUGAAUGAAAUGGUUGUCAGUUCGACCCUGACAAGCGGCA